rnacentral:rRNA from 1 species
UGGCCUUGACAUACUAAGAACUUUCCAGAGAUGGAUUGGUGCCUUCGGGAACUUAGAUACAGGUGCUGCAUGGCUGUCGUCAGCUCGUGUCGUGAGAUGUUGGGUUAAGUCCGCAACGAGCGCAACCCUUUUCCUUAUUUGCCAGCGGGUAAUGCCGGGAACUUUAAGGAUACUGCCAGUGACAAACUGGAGGAAGGCGGGGACGACGUCAAGUCAUCAUGGCCCUUACGGCCAGGGCUACACACGUGCUACAAUGGUCGGUACAAAGGGUUGCUACCUCGCGAGAGGAUGCUAAUCUCAAAAAGCCGAUCGUAGUCCGGAUCGCAGUCUGCAACUCGACUGCGUGAAGUCGGAAUCGCUAGUAAUCGCGGAUCAGAAUGCCGCGGUGAAUACGUUCCCGGGCCUUGUACACGCCGCCCGUCACACCAUGGGAGUUUGUUGCACCAGAAGUAGGUAGUCUAACCGCAAGGAGGACGCUUACCACGGUGUGGCCGAUGACUGGGGUGAAGUCGUAACAAGGUAGGCGUAGAUGA